UUUUUUUUUUUUUUUUUUUGAGAAGAGUAUCUAAAAUAGCAUUUGAUAUAAUUCUAUAUACUUUAAUACUUAAUAGUUUUUGUUCGACUUGACAACAGUAGAAAUGUGACAAUUUUCAUUUUCUUCUAAUCAUAAAUUACUGAAAGCUGUUCUGAAAUUAACUCUUCAAUAAAAUAGUGUAAGCAGAAGAUACAAGUUCAAGCCAACGCAGUUUCAAAUUUGGAUUAAUUAGCAAAAAUAUCAUAAUGUUUCUAUAAUUUUUAAAAUUUGGCAAUCGCAAUAUUGCGUUUUAUUUUCUUGUAAUUGGAAUGUUUUUAUUUUUUUCACAAUAAAACUGUACCAUGUCUUUGAUAAAACAACGCUCUAAUGUUCAUAUAAGCUACAAAAUUAUUAUGAAAAAAAGUAAGAAUAUUAUAACGAUAAAAAAUUCUAAAAAAUAAUACUCCUACUAUAUAAUUUAAAAAUACAUUUUUCUUUAGUUAUAUAUUUUUAAAAUACCUAAAAAUUAUAUAUUCACGUAAAAUAAUACUAUAAGUACCGUACAAUACGUCCCCUUCUCUUGACACAUAAAAAUUCUAAAAGAAAAGGAAACCUACUUCAGAAAAUUCAGACUGCCACAGGAAAUCUCGGCAACUAAUCCGCCGCUGGCCUCCGUUAACCGCCGCUGCCUUCCUCCGUCUCAGUGAGCUCAGCCACAUAGCCCUAAUUUUUAUCCGAAGGGGUUUGAUAACUAAUGGCGACUGCUAAUGGAGGUAGUGCCGACAUACUGAUGCUGGAGGCGCCGCCGCAGUCGUCCACGGCCACGGCACCGGCGGCUCCAAUAAUUGAUGCUUUGCCCUACAUUGAUGACGACUAUGGCAACCCAAAGGUUAAAGAAGAAGUUGACCGAUUGGUGGAAGAGGAGAUGCGGUUCAGCUCGAAGAAACCUUCCGACUUCCUCAAAGACCUUCCCCCUCUCCCCACAUUCAAUUUUCAGGACCAUCCUAUGCUGGCUAGAGAAUAUGAGAGAGUUAGAGCUGGGAAACCCCCAGUCCAAAUGGAUACAUCCAGAUAUGGACUUGAAGUGCCACCGCUGAACAAGCGAAACGAUGAGACUGCAUGGAGGCAAGCGCUUCAGAAAGCCCAGCGCUUGUUGCAGCAUCAAGUGAUCAGACUUGAAAAUCUGGAUUUGAUGCUGAAGCAUGGUCCUGAUGUUUGGAAGUUGUAUAAUCAACAGUUGGAGGCGUUUCUAUCAAGAAUGCAAUCUCAAGUUCUGGAGCUCAAUGGAAAUAUUGAAUCUGUCAAUCGAGAGAGGAAGUAUCAUCAGCAAAACACCGCCUAUGAGCUCACUGCUUUAUCUGCACAAUGGAGGGAGCUCUGUUUGAAAAACAUUGAAAUAGAAAGUGCAUGUGCUGAAAUUGAAGCCCAUAUUGAAGCAUUGAAACGUGAAGCUGGCGAGAGGGGCUGGAAUUUGGAAGCAAAUAUUGAGAAUGGAACUAUUCCAUAAGCUGAAAAAUGAGGUUCGCUUGAAGUUUCUUGAUCGUUUAAUGUUACCCCCGAUGCAUGAAUAAAUAGAAAAGACUUGCAGAUGCAAAAGACGGCUUGUUUAAUAUCGAGAUUCAAAGUUUUCAUGCCAUGCCUAACUGCUUCAAAGUACGCUUAGGAUCCCCAAGGUUUAUAGAGAGAGAGUUAAACUUUCAUUUCCUUUAAUGGCACCCAAAAUUCUGUUUUUCCUCUUUCAGAAUCUGUAUUGUUUUUCCUCUUUCAGAAUCUGUAUUCAGCCAUGUAAGCAUUCAAAGUAGCCAACUGAUAUUAGCUUCAAACCCUUUAAUAUUCUCUAAUGUAAUAUACUGUAUACAGAACAUAGGCCAAUUUCCUCAUCAUUAGAUAUUUUAGGUAUA